CCUACGGGAGGCAGCAGUGAGGAAUAUUGGUCAAUGGACGAGAGUCUGAACCAGCCAAGUAGCGUGAAGGAUGACGGCCCUAUGGGUUGUAAACUUCUUUUAUACGGGGAUAAAAUGCGUCACGUGUGGGUUUUUGUAGGUACCACAUGAAUAAGGAUCGGCUAACUCCGUGCCAGCAGCCGCGGUAAUACGGAGGGUCCGGGCGUUAUCCGGAUUUAUUGGGUUUAAAGGGAGCGUAGGCGGCUUGUUAAGCCAGCUGUGAAAUUCCGCGGCUCAACCAUGGAAUUGCAGUGGAAACUGGCUGUCUUGAGUGCGGUAGAGGUGGGCGGAAUUCGUGGUGUAGCGGUGAAAUGCUUAGAUAUCACGAAGAACUCCGAUUGCGAAGGCAGCACACUGGACUGCAACUGACGCUGAGGCUCGAAAGUGUGGGUAUCGAACAGGAUUAGAUACCCGUGUAGUC
rnacentral:rRNA from 1 species